rnacentral:rRNA from 1 species
AGAACGAACGCUGGCGGCAUGCCUAAUACAUGCAAGUCGAACGAACACUUCGGUGUUAGUGGCGCACGGGUGCGUAACGCGUGGGAAUCUGCCCUUGGGUUCGGAAUAACAGUUGGAAACGACUGCUAAUACCGGAUGAUAUCGAAAGAUCAAAGAUUUAUCCGCCCAGGGAUGAGCCCCGCGUAGGAUUAGCUAGUUGGUGAGGUAAAGGCUCACCGAAGGCGACGAUCCUUAGCUGGUCUGAGAGGAUGAUCAGCCACACUGGGACUGAGACACGGCCCAGACUCCGUACGGGAGGCAGCAGU